rnacentral:rRNA from 1 species
UACAUAGGCCUCGAGCGUUAGGCGGAAUCACUGGGCUUAAAGCGCGUGUAGGCGGGAGGGCACGUCCGUUGCUGAAAUCCCCCGGCUCAACCGGGGAACGGGCGCGGAUACGACCUUCCUGGAGGGGCGUAGGGGGACCUGGAACUUCCGGUGGAGCGGUGAAAUGCGUUGAGAUCGGAAGGAACGCCCGUGGCGAAAGCGAGGUCCUGGACGCCUACUGACGCUGAGACGCGAAAGCCAGGGGAGCGAACGGG